rnacentral:rRNA from 1 species
UACAGAGGUGUCAAACGUUGUCCGGAAUUACUGGGCGUAAAGGGCGCGUAGGCGGUCAGGUAAGUCAGAUGUGAAAUCACUGGGCUCAACCCAGUAAUUGCAUUUGAAACUGCCAGACUUGAGUUGGGUAGAGGAGGGCGGAAUUCCUGGUGUAGCGGUGAAAUGCGUAGAUAUCAGGAGGAACACCUGUGGCGAAGGCGGCUCUCUGGUCCCAUACUGACGCUGAGGCGCGAAAGCUAGGGUAGCAAACAGG